rnacentral:rRNA from 1 species
GACGAACGCUGGCGGCGUGCCUAAUACAUGCAAGUUGAGCGCUGAAGGUUGGUACUUGUACCAACUGGAUGAGCAGCGAACGGGUGAGUAACGCGUGGGGAAUCUGCCUUUGAGCGGGGGACAACAUUUGGAAACGAAUGCUAAUACCGCAUAAAAACUUUAAACACAAGUUUUAAGUUUGAAAGAUGCAAUUGCAUCACUCAAAGAUGAUCCCGCGUUGUAUUAGCUAGUUGGUGAGGUAAAGGCUCACCAAGGCGAUGAUACAUAGCCGACCUGAGAGGGUGAUCGGCCACAUUGGGACUGAGACACGGCCCAAACUCCUACGGGAGGCAGCAGUAGGGAAUCUUCGGCAAUGGACGAAAGUCUGACCGAGCAACGCCGCGUGAGUGAAGAAGGUUUUCGGAUCGUAAAACUCUGUUGGUAGAGAAGAACGUUGGUGAGAGUGGAAAAGCUCAUCAAAGG